AUACGGAGGAUCCGAGCGUUAUCCGGAUUUAUUGGGUUUAAAGGGAGCGUAGGUGGACAGUUAAGUCAGUUGUGAAAGUUUGCGGCUCAACCGUAAAAUUGCAGUUGAUACUAGCAGUCUUGAGUACAGUAGAGGUGGGCGGAAUUCGUGGUGUAGCGGUGAAAUGCUUAGAUAUCACGAAGAACUCCGAUUGCGAAGGCAGCUCACUAGACUGUUACUGACACUGAUGCUCGAAAGUGUGGGUAUCAAACAGGAUUAGAUACCCUGGUAGUCCACACAGUAAACGAUGAAUACUCGCUGUUUGCGAUAUACAGUAAGCGGCCAAGCGAAAGCAUUAAGUAUUCCACCUGGGGAGUACGCCGGCAACGGUGAAACUCAAAUGAAUUGACGGGG
rnacentral:rRNA from 1 species